UCAGAAGAAUAAAAAAACUGGUUCACUGAUUUAUUUUCCAGUUUAUGAAGUUCAAACUUUUGUAGUGUGGCAACUUCAAAACCAGUAACCAUAGAGAGCUCAUCAUUUGACACAAUGUGUCCAGCAAAUGCAUUUAUCGAUUUCACAUGCUGCCUGUAAAAAAAAAUGAUUUUCAUAAAAAGUGGCAAAUGACAGAUUCUUACACUAAGCAUUUGAUCUGCACUAGUGACACCAGGCAAAUGGGCUGCCACUUUAUUGUAUGAAACAACAUUUUUGUUUACAGUCAAAUUAUAAUCGACAUAUUCUUCCCGCUUUUGAAACUCUGAGUACAUUGAUGUUUACACCUAGUUGAGGAAACCAUUUUUGGCUUCUUAGAAGUCACUUCAAAGUUAUCCCCUGACUUUCAAUUUUUCAGAUGAAGUUCAAAAUGUUGGCCGGCAAGGUAUUGACAGGGAAAAGAUCCAGCCUGGAGGCAUGAAAGUGUGGACUGACCCUUUUGAGAAGAAAAACUGACUGAUGAAAGCUGAUCUGUGGCAUGGCUUGUGAUACUUUCUUCACUUCUUGGAGUGGGUUUUUUUUCAGCAGAAUCAAAAAUCAUGGUUGUGUUGUUUUGUUAUAGUUCAGGGGUGAGCAACAGACGGCCAGUGGGCCAUAACCAGACUGCAAGCUUUGGCAGUGUGUGCCUUGGUUGAUCAUUUUUAUAUUUGUAACUAAAUGGUGUUACUCGAUUUCUCACUCUUAUGAUGAUUGGCCCUCUCUGAAAUUGUGCCAAUGUUCGAAAGUGGACUUCAAAUAAAAAAAUGUUGCACACCCUUGUUUUAGUUGAAGAUAGGACAGUGACAAGACUUUUGGAAAUGUAGUGAUUGCAACAUGCCAAAUGUUGUUAUCUGCUGUUGCAUGCUAUUAUCAAUAUCAUAUAAACAUUUCGAGAUUUACUUUUGAAAAGCCCUGGGCUAUUUUUCAAAGAAAGAUCUAGCGUCUAUCCUGUUUAAUCCAGUCCAGUCCAGUAGCUUCAGGGGAAAUUACAUUCUUAUCAAAGUAGUAAUUUUCAGAAUUCUUUUUCCCUUCUUCUGUCUGUCAAUGCAAAAUAAGUUUUCUUUGAACCCCUUAUCCGAAAUGCAUGAAUGACAUGCAUACGUAAAAUGACAUUAUCAGAAAUUAUUAUGACAUUAAUUUUCAUUGAGCACUUGUCUAUGUCUUGAAGUCUUGUAUCUUUUGUAUGGAAUGUGGAAGAUAAAGUAGUUUUUCAUGAAAGAAGAAAAGAAAGGUCUGUUGAUGACAGAUUUUGUGAUUAUUGUUAAUGAGUGAAAAAUAUUUUGUAUCUUGUUAGCACUAGUUAUGAUGCUUACUGAUAUUCUGGAUGAGCUGCAGAUGAACUGAAAAUUGCGCCAUGAGUGUUUUAUUGUAUGCAUGUAUGUAUGGACUGUACAGAUUAGAAUUUGAGUGAUGAGUACAUCAUGUUAUCAUUAAUUGGAAGGGUAAAAGUCAAGGAUCAUAAUUUUUGUGUUGCGAAUUGUUAAAAUGUUUUAUUUGUUGGAACAUGUGUGUUAGUUUGCUGUGAAGAAAAUUUGAAAACAGACUGCAAAAGAUGUAUGUUUUGGAAAAUGGCUCUGUGUGGAAUAAAUAUUUUGAGUGUGAUACUGA